rnacentral:tRNA from 1 species
AUCAAUCUAAUGUGUGGGGCUGUAACUCAGUGGUAGAGUGCUUGCUUAGCAUGCAAGAAGUCGCCGGUUCAAUUCCGGCCAGCUCCAGCU